GAGUUGUUGUAUCUAUUCAGACUAGGCUUAGAGCAAUGGUUGCAAGAGAUGAGUUCAGAAGAAGAAGAAGAAGCAAGGCUGCAACUAUAGUUCAGAUUAGUUAGCUACUUGCAGGUUGAUCUUGAAUAAGCAAAGGGGCAAUGGAUUGUAUUUUUUGUAUCUAAUUCGUUUGUAAAUUUUUGUUACAACUUCUAUUGAUUUGUUUUAUCUUUCCAUGGAACGAUUAUUUGUAUGACAUUAAAUUUAUGCAAUGGAUUCUAUUUUUUGUA